rnacentral:tRNA from 1 species
GGCCGAGUAGCUCAGUUGGUAGAGCAGGGGAUUGAAAAUCCCCGUGUCCGGCGGUUCGAUUCCGUCUUCGGCCACCA